GCGGAGGCUCAUUGAUUAUUAAAACCACAAUGUGAACCUAUCUGUUCCGUGCCUUAGCUGCCAGCAGGGCAAUCGGGCUUUGUCCGAUUGUGCUUGCAAGCUGGUGCGAGUAUUAUUACUUGCAUCAGUGGCGCUUUGGCAUGCUUAUACACCAGUGCUAACCACUGUCAAAACCAAACUCUGAAGCUUUGAUUGCUGUUAAUUGGCAAUCUUAACCAAAGACAACUCUCAACAACGGAUAUCUUGGCUCUCGCAACGAUGAAGAACGCAGCGAAAUGCGAUACGUAGUGUGAAUUGCAGAAUUCCGUGAACCAUCGAAUCUUUGAACGCAUAUUGCGCUCGAGCCCUCGGGCAAGAGCAUGUCUGCCUCAGCGUCGGUUUAUACCCUCACCCCUCUCUCCUUUUGGAGGGCUGGUCAGCUCUCAGUUGGCCUCAGGGGUGGAUCUGGCUUUCCCAAUUGGUUCACUCCGAUUGGGUUGGCUGAAGCUUAGAGGCUUAAGCAAGGACCCGAUAUGGGCUUCAACUGGAUAGGUAGCACCGGCUUCUGCCGACUACACGAAGUUGUGGCUUGUGGACUUUGCUAGAGGCCAAGCAGGAAACAUGCUUUGCAUGUCUUAAACUUUCGACCUGAGCUCAGGCAAGGCUACCCGCUGAACUUAAGCAUAUCAAUAAGCGGAG
rnacentral:rRNA from 1 species